rnacentral:lncRNA from 1 species
GUCAGUGCUCUGGGUUGUGAUGGGUUCCCAGGCUCUGCAGGAGCUCAGCAAAGGCCACAUAACGUCUUUUGAAUUCAGUCACUACUAAGGCCCUUCCAGCUUGGACCUCUCUGAGCUGAAAUGGGAUUUCUAUCCAUGAGGAUGGCAACUAGGUUGGAGAGCCUCCCCAUGUGUCUGUUUCCCAGCUGUUCAGGAUUGAAUCUUCCUGCUGAUCCUGAAGGGCUCUGGCAGCCCCGUAGGCUCCUGCUGGGGGACCGAUAUCCAGGAAACUUAGGCUCUUCUGCACCGUGGAGCCAGCACCUCUCCAGCCUGGCUUGCUUAUGGACGCAUGCAAGUAUCUGGAGUCCUUGCAGUACCGAGUCUGGAAGAAGAUGCUUGGGUCUGUUGAAUCGGUGCCCUUCAGCUUGGAUCCCAACACAGC